rnacentral:rRNA from 1 species
UCGGGAAUUUUGGGCAAUGGGCGAAAGCCUGAUCCAGCCAUGCCGCGUGUGUGAAGAAGGUCUUCGGAUUGUAAAGCACUUUAAGUUGGGAGGAAGGGCAGUAACCUAAUACGUUGCUGUCUUGACGUUACCGACAGAAUAAGCACCGGCUAACUCUGUGCCAGCAGCCGCGGUAAUACAGAGGGUGCAAGCGUUAAUCGGAAUUACUGGGCGUAAAGCGCGCGUAGGUGGUUCGUUAAGUUGGAUGUGAAAUCCCCGGGCUCAACCUGGGAACUGCAUUCAAAACUGUCGAGCUAGAGUAUGGUAGAGGGUGGUGGAAUUUCCUGUGUAGCGGUGAAAUGCGUAGAUAUAGGAAGGAACACCAGUGGCGAAGGCGACUUGCUGGACUUAUGGUGACGCUGAGACGCGAAAGCGUGGGGAGCAAACAGGAUUAGAUACCCCUGUAGUCCCUGAGCGGGCUGGCAAGGCGCAU